rnacentral:misc_RNA from 1 species
AACGCACAUUGCGCCCCCUGGCAUUCCGGGGGGCAUGCCUGUUCGAGCGUCAUUACACCAAUCAAGCUCCGCUUGGCAUUGGGCCCUUCGUCCCCCUCGCGGGGGGCGGGCCUCGAAAACCUCGGCGAAGUCUCACCGGCUUUGGGCGUAGCAGAAACCAUUUUUUUGAAAACGUCCUCGGGCCCGGCGAGUCUCCUGCCGCCAGCAAGAGCGGGAAACCGCACCUUCAAGGUUGACCUCGGAUCAGGUAGGAAUACCCGCUGAACUUAA